GAGAAAGUGUACGGUGUCUAGUACCCUGGGACUUCUAAUCCUUUGAGUGGAGGGUGACGACCUCCCUUUCUUU
rnacentral:tRNA from 1 species